GUCUGUUAAAAGCAUCCAAAUAGAAAAUUGUUUAAUUUCACAUUUUAAAACUUAUACUUUUAUGAUACUUAUUUUUUAAAACACAAAAUUAGUUAAGAAUAAAACAAUCUUUUACAAAAUAUAAAUUAGUUUAGAAGGAAUAGAAGCUGUUGCGCUUGGACCAUCUUCUAGACUUACUCUGUGGUAGCAAAACAGCUCGCAAAAUAAAGCUAAGUGCAUAUAUGUGCUUUUUCUAUGGCCGGUUAUGUAAGGAAUCGCUGUGCCGGCUUCUGCCCCAAUUCGAGCAAAACCCGCUUUGGCUUCGGUUUCCAUUUCAUUUGCACCAACCAAAACGUAGUCGGGGAUGGGGAUUGGGAUGGAGAUAAAGAUGGAGACGGGGACCGAGAUCUCGAUCUGGAACGAGUCUCGGCCUGGUCAGCUUCUCUACACUCUCGAUUGCAAAACUCACACGCGUUUAAUGAAAGCGAAGCGGGAAAAGUUUACUCAAUCAGUUGGCUUAAGCAUUUUCAUUCAGUUUCCUUUUACACAGAAGUCAACACACGAAAACUGAAGUUAAGAUUAUCGGUCAAAUUGUAAUAGUAAAUUUGUUUAUGUUUUAUUAGUUUUUUGCAAUGAUUUGUCUAUCACGUCUGGUCAUAAUAAACUUGCCAAGUGUCUGGCCACCAAAACGAAGCUCACAUUCUGAGAAGAAGGAUUCGAACGGCAAGAUUUCUGUCCAACAAGCUGGCCUGAGGGAUUUCCAGAGACCUCUGCAGUUCCACACCAAAAGAGACUAUAUCAAGUGGUUCAGCCGACUGAGUCGCUGCCACAGAGCUCAUCACUUUCCGGGACGUAUGCAUUCCAGAUUUUAGAACCGAAUUAAGAGAGGAAUUAAAGCUGUUGCUCUUGCUUUGAAUUUCACUUUCACACAUUUUUUGUCCUGCUCGCCUUCGUUGGUGAUUGGCAAUUAAGAUUGCAUCUAGUGCAUAGAUUAGCUCACGUCGGUGACCCAUAUUCGGAGUGGCUCAGCUGGGAGCCGGUUGUCGGACUGGCUGGCCAAAGCCGCCUAAGUUGGUCAGUGGUGCGAUUGCACCGUGACAUGGCAAGUGGCCACUAGUUGGCCAGAUUCGAACUCCUUUUGCCGCCUUUCUAGAGCCGCUUUCCUCGUUUCUCUCUCGGCUUUUAUCUGCCCCCGAGGCAAAUUAGUCAAAUGGUAAGAAUUAUAUAAUAAUCUAGUUAUACUCGGCCACCGAGUGGCCGAGUGGCCGAAUGGCCCAGUGUCCCGGUGAGAAGUGGGCGUUGCAUGUUUGCCUUUCACUUUUUUUCGGGAUCGGCCAGCUGUGCCAGGAUAUAUAUCAAACGGCACGAUUAUACAAUAGCCCGAUCGCCGGAUCGGCACGUAAUUAGUCGCCUUAAACUGCGCCAAACAAUUGCAAAAGGCCUGCAUGUUUGAAUGUUCUCCAAAACUCCGCUUCGCAAUUAAGACAUUAUUCAAUUUGUGACAUUCGCGAGAAAAAUGAAACUGUAACAAGAGCUCGAAAAACAAUUAACUGCAUUUUGGCGAUUUCCCAAAGCGAUGUUCUAAUUUUGCAACCAAAAGCGAACAAAAAAAAAAAUGCCUCGCUGGGCCCAAAGUUGUGAACAUUUAAUGAGCACCAAAAUCGUAAAUUUAAUUUAUAUCGUUUUCUAAGCUUUUUGUCAGACGACAAAUUUCGUAAUUUUUUUCGCUUGUUGCUGUUGCUGAUUCGUGUAAACUGUGCCGACUCGGCAUGGAGCUUUGGACUCGAACCCUGGUUGCAUGUCAAAGGCGCAUGAAACGCCGCCAGCCUGCCACAAGAAUCAAAUGACACUCGGCAUGGUCCAUUUUGGCUGCUCAAAAAAGCUGCGCUGCAGUGCAGUAAAAAAAGUAUCCAUUCAAAGGCUACGAUCUGGUCAAAAUACCCAGCAGUGUGUAGCCUUAAUUGGCACCUCGACACUUGGCCAGGACCGAAUCGAAUCGAAUCCAAUCUAGUCAAAUCGAAUGGCAUGGCUGUGUAGGUGCACUUGAUGGCCAACUCUGGUGUGAGUGAGUGUGAGAUUUAUGUUCUGGCCCGCUCUGCUUUGGGUAUUCAUUGCCCAACUGGCACUGCGGAACACCGACUUGGCCAACCAAGUGCUCGACGGCUUCUGGGCAGUUGGAAGUUGCAAGUUGGCACUUUGGUAGCAGCGGUGCCGCUCUAUGAUAAAGUAUCCCCGCCAAUGGUCACGCAAAAAAUUUUGACACGACUUACGCAUGUCCGAAAUGGUCGACGGGGGCAAUAGGAAUGAGUGGUGGCCAUUAUGUAGAUCUAAGUGAUCACAAAAAUCAAAUAACACUUAUGCAACAUUUAUGUAAAUAUGUAAGCAAGCAAAGGCCACACGGCGAAUGAGUAAUAAACAUGAAAAUAUUUCGGAAGGGAGAGUUUUCAUUAUAUUAUUACAGGUUCAUAGAAACCAUCUUCAAGCUUACACUGAAAUUUAUUUGUAUAGACUAUCUGAAUACAAAUUAUAAUUUAUUAAAAAAAUAUUUUCUCGUUCUUAAAAAGUUAUCCGUACAAUAACACAUACCCUUUCCCUUCCAACGACGCACCUUUAAUUGCAGCUUUGCCCCAAAAAUUUCAGUGAUUAGCCAGGAAUUUAAUUUGGCUGCACCUUCGCCUCCAACGUCCUCUAAAUUCGAACUGCGUAAUUGCUUUGCGAAGAGCCGCCCACCUGGCUAAGAUAUGCAAAUAAUACAAGUCCAAUUUUCAAUAACUCAAUUACGAAGGCGCAGGUUUGAGACUCGCUGAAUGGCUGACAGAAACAUCUAUAAAGAUCGUAAUUAAAAAGCAGUUAAACAGACGACAGUAAUUAAACACACAAUCGCAUGAGGCGAGAGCACCAAUUAUAUUUGCCGUUUGUUGAGACUUCGACGAUAAAAGCCAGUGGUAAUUGACAUUUAAGGCAAUUCAUUAACGCGGCUAACACAUGGGAGUCAAAAAGCUAAAGUUAAAUACUAAAUACCAGCAGGUGGACCACCAAAUAAAAACAAAAAAAAAGAGAAACGAGAAUAACGUGGCUAAUCAUGCACUAGAUUUCGGGAUAUGGGUUUUUUAUUUACAUGCCCGAGUAAAAAAUGUUGUCUUGAUUUUUUUCAAUUUUUCCCCUCACAUUUGCAUACAGGUUGCCAAGACGACGGCGCCACAAUUCUCUUGGGUUCCCAGCCUCCAGCCUUCAGUUAAGCUCGAAGAUUUCGGAGACCCGAGUUGUUAGCGGCAAUUAUUGUAACUUGCGGACGGGCUGCAUAAAUCAGCUUAAUUGCUAUAUUUAAAUUCUAAAUUUGGAGCUUUGGCCAAGUGCGCUGUCUAGUUGUGCAAGUGACACGGCCAGCGUCCAUUUGGGUCUGCAAACGGUCCUUAGUGGAACCUUAGUAGGACCUUGGUCGGUCCUUUCACGAUCCUUUAAAGAGUUUAACAAUAGUGCACUAGAACUAGUGAGCAAGUAUGCAUACAUAUAGGCAUACCUUCUUAGCUUUAGCGGUGUUCGGCUUGAAGUUUA